CAGCCGUAAACUAUGCGCGUUAGGUGUACUGGUGACCACGAGUCACCGGGGUGCCGAAGGGAAACCGUGAAACGUGCCGCCUGGGAAGUACGGUCGCAAGGCUGAAACUUAAAGGAAUUGGCGGGGGGAGCACCACAACGCGUGGAGCCUGCGGUUUAAUUGGACUCAACGCCGGGAAGCUCACCGGAUAGGACAGCAGAAUGAUUGCCGGGCUGAAGACCCUGCAUGACUAGCUGAGAGGAGGUGCAUGGCGUCAGUGACU
rnacentral:rRNA from 1 species